AGGGAGGUGUGGUGACACAACACCAGCGGUCUCCAAAACCGCAGGUUGCACGUUCGAGUCGUGUCCCCCCUG
rnacentral:tRNA from 1 species